UUUAUGGAGAGUUUGAUCCUGGCUCAGGAUGAACGCUGGCGGCGUGCCUAAUACAUGCAAGUCGAGCGAACGGACGAGAAGCUUGCUUCUCUGAUGUUAGCGGCGGACGGGUGAGUAACACGUGGAUAACCUACCUAUAAGACUGGGAUAACUUCGGGAAACCGGAGCUAAUACCGGAUAAUAUUUUGAACCGCAUGGUUCAAAAGUGAAAGACGGUCUUGCUGUCACUUAUAGAUGGAUCCGCGCUGCAUUAGCUAGUUGGUAAGGUAACGGCUUACCAAGGCAACGAUGCAUAGCCGACCUGAGAGGGUGAUCGGCCACACUGGAACUGAGACACGGUCCAGACUCCUACGGGAGGCAGCAGUAGGGAAUCUUCCGCAAUGGGCGAAAGCCUGACGGAGCAACGCCGCGUGAGUGAUGAAGGUCUUCGGAUCGUAAAACUCUGUUAUUAGGGAAGAACAUAUGUGUAAGUAACUGUGCACAUCUUGACGGUACCUAAUCAGAAAGCCACGGCUAACUACGUGCCAGCAGCCGCGGUAAUACGUAGGUGGCAAGCGUUAUCCGGAAUUAUUGGGCGUAAAGCGCGCGUAGGCGGUUUUUUAAGUCUGAUGUGAAAGCCCACGGCUCAACCGUGGAGGGUCAUUGGAAACUGGAAAACUUGAGUGCAGAAGAGGAAAGUGGAAUUCCAUGUGUAGCGGUGAAAUGCGCAGAGAUAUGGAGGAACACCAGUGGCGAAGGCGACUUUCUGGUCUGUAACUGACGCUGAUGUGCGAAAGCGUGGGGAUCAAACAGGAUUAGAUACCCUGGUAGUCCACGCCGUAAACGAUGAGUGCUAAGUGUUAGGGGGUUUCCGCCCCUUAGUGCUGCAGCUAACGCAUUAAGCACUCCGCCUGGGGAGUACGACCGCAAGGUUGAAACUCAAAGGAAUUGACGGGGACCCGCACAAGCGGUGGAGCAUGUGGUUUAAUUCGAAGCAACGCGAAGAACCUUACCAAAUCUUGACAUCCUUUGACAACUCUAGAGAUAGAGCCUUCCCCUUCGGGGGACAAAGUGACAGGUGGUGCAUGGUUGUCGUCAGCUCGUGUCGUGAGAUGUUGGGUUAAGUCCCG
rnacentral:rRNA from 1 species